AGAGUUUGAUCCUGGCUCAGGAUUAACGCUAGCGGCAGGCCUAAUACAUGCAAGUCGAGGGGCAGCAGGGUGUAGCAAUACAUCGCUGGCGACCGGCGCACGGGUGCGUAACACGUAUGCAACCUACCUUUAACUGGGGAAUAGCCCUCCGAAAGGAGGAUUAACACCGCAUAACAUCACGAGGCGGCAUCGUCUUGUGAUCAAACCUCCGGGGGUUAAAGAUGGGCAUGCGUCCGAUUAGCUAGUUGGCGGGGUAACGGCCCACCAAGGCGACGAUCGGUAGGGGGUCUGAGAGGAUGAUCCCCCACACUGGUACUGAGACACGGACCAGACUCCUACGGGAGGCAGCAGUAAGGAAUAUUGGACAAUGGGCGCAAGCCUGAUCCAGCCAUGCCGCGUGCAGGAAGACGGCCCUAUGGGUUGUAAACUGCUUUUGAACAAGAGAAAACCCUCUUACGUGUAAGAGGCUGAUAGUAUUGUUAGAAUAAGCAUCGGCUAACUUCGUGCCAGCAGCCGCGGUAAGACGAAGGAUGCAAGCGUUAUCCGGAUUCAUUGGGUUUAAAGGGUGCGUAGGCGGACUUGUAAGUCAGUGGUGAAAUCUCUCAGCUUAACUGAGAAACUGCCAUUGAUACUGCAGGUCUAGAGUAUAGAUGACGUUGGCGGAAUAUGACAUGUAGUGGUGAAAUACUUAGAUAUGUCAUAGAACACCGAUUGCGAAGGCAGCUAACGAAACUAUAACUGACGCUGAGGCACGAAAGUGCGGGGAUCAAACAGGAUUAGAUACCCUGGUAGUCCGCACCGUAAACGAUGAUUACUCGUUGUUGGCGAUAUGACAGUCAGCGACCAAGCGAAAGCGAUAAGUAAUCCACCUGGGGAGUACGCCGGCAACGGUGAAACUCAAAGGAAUUGACGGGGGCCCGCACAAGCGGAGGAGCAUGUGGUUUAAUUCGAUGAUACGCGAGGA
rnacentral:rRNA from 1 species